rnacentral:rRNA from 1 species
ACGAACGCUGGCGGCGUGCCUAAUACAUGCAAGUUGAGCGCUGAAGGUUGGUACUUGUACCAACUGGAUGAGCAUCGAACGGGUGAGUAACGCGUGGGGAAUCUGCCUUUGAGCGGGGGACAACAUUUGGAAACGAAUGCUAAUACCGCAUAAAAACUUUAAACACAAGUUUUAAGUUUGAAAGAUGCAAUUGCAUCACUCAAAGAUGAUCCCGCGUUGUAUUAGCUAGUUGGUGAGGUAAAGGCUCACCAAGGCGAUGAUACAUAGCCGACCUGAGAGGGUGAUCGGCCCCAUUGGGACUGAGACACGGCCCAAACUCCUACGGGAGGCAGCAGUAGGGAAUCUUCGGCAAUGGACGAAAGUCUGACCGAGCAACGCCGCGUGAGUGAAGAAGGUUUUCGGAUCGUAAAACUCUGUUGGUAGAGAAGAACGUUGGUGAGAGUGGAAAGCUCAUCAAGUGACGGUAACUACCCAGAAAGGGACGGCUAACUACGUG